AUACCCGUCCCUCAUCGUCAUUUCCGCGUCUCGAAAAUUGUCCGAAUAAUUAAAAAAAAAGAAACAAAUAGAACGAACCCACGCCCUCACAGGGAAGCAAUCUUGAAACUUCAAGCUCUUUAAAACUCCCUCCCUUCUCCCCCCUCCUCUCUGUCGCCGUGAAAAACACAAAGCACCGUAAAAGGAAAGCCUGAAACCCUAGCUUUUUUUUUCAUUGCUUGCUAUUGAAGAAUCGAAUUUGUGCCGAUUUGAUGAGUCUGUGAAAUGUGCUUUUUGGAGAACGAUUGAUUUCAAUUUAAUAAAACCUAAAAAUAGCGAGGAUUUGUUUUUUUUUAUUGAAUAUAAAAUGAAAAAAUUCCGACGGUGGCACUGGAUUUUGACACUCUCUGUGCUCUAUUUAACUGUGCUGGCUCCCAUCCUUAUCGUUUCUCUAGGGCGGGAAGAAUUGAUUUCUGAUUUGUCAAAUUUGGGGUAUCCAAUUCAGAGAUCUACGGAUAGGAAGGUAAAGAAGAUGAAAGAUUAUGUGCUUAGAGGGAAGACAUACUUAAGCAUGUGGCCACCAGGCAGCAACUAUCGCUUAGUAAAAGAGUUGAGACACCGAAUAAAAUAAUCAGAAGGAGCUGUUAGUUCAUCCAACAAGGACUCAGAUUUAUCAAGGAGAAAAUGAGAUCCUUGGAGGUUAUGUUGUCAAGAGUCAGUCGUGUUUUCCCAGACUGCUCUGCCAUGGCUUCAAAGCUCCGCGCCAUGACUUACAAUGCUGAAGAAGAGGUUCGAGCUCAGAAGAAUCAAGCAACAUAUCUUGUUCAGCUUGCAGGAAGGACUACACCGAAAGGCCUACACUGCCUUCCAUGCGGUUGACUGCUGAAGAUUUUGCCUUGCCAGCUGAGGAAAGACAGGUCUCUAACCAACACAGAGUGCAGGAUCCAGAUCUCCAUCACUAUACUGUUUUCACUGGCAAUGUUCUGUCCUGUGCAGUGGUUGUCAAUUCUACUGUGUCCUCUGCCAUGAAAUCAUUAACUAUGACAGGAAUCUGGUACAGAUGUCAUUCUCCGUGCAUGUGGUCGGCUUAGAUACCUGCGGAAAAAGCUUUUCAAAUUGAAUAUUGUGCAUGGUUUACUUUGAGCUGAGGUGUGCAACAAACCUUCAUUUUGCCGGAUGGAUAUGUUCAUCAAUUUCUCAGAUCCAUUUGUGAUUAAGAGGUUUAAUGUCAAGGCAUGCACAUGGGCAUUUGGAAUGAAUUUGUUUGAUAUGCAAGAGUGGAAGAGGCAUAAUUUAACAGCUCUCUAUAAUAAAUACUUGCAACUGGUACGUGACUAUCUCUUGUUACACAUUUGCUUAUGCUUGCAUGCUGACAUGCUUUCUGGAUUUAUGUUAUCUCUGCUGUUCUGAAAAACAUGCUUGCUGAUUUAGCAUUGUUCAUCUUCAAAAGAUGUUUACUCCUCUCUCGAUUUUUCCA